UCCUUUUCUACAUUGGUCUAGAACCAUCUCUCUUCUAUUCACAGAGGAGUACUUUUCAGUUUUCAACUUUUAGCUCUCUUCAUUUUUCUUAUCUAUCUCCUGCAAUUUCAGAGAAAUUGGGAAAUGGACUUCUAAUUUAGUUGAUUCAUCUAUUUGGGCGUGGACACAAUCAGACCCAUAUCUUGGCUUGGCGAACAUUGGAUGGUAUGCGAUAUGAGUGUUCUCUAUCACAUGCAACGGGUUCUUUUGCAGGAGCACAUUGAGUUGCAAUCUGGAAAAAAAAUAUAGCUAAAAGAAAACAACUUUGAUGCAGCCAAGAUUAUUGAAGGAGGAACAUUUGUGUGAUGCUCAGACGAAAAAUCGUCAUCUCAAGAUGCAAUUACUACCAGAGUAGAUUAUACAGUGAAAGAUGAAGAAGUUUUAAGAGAACGAAAUAGAUUAGAAAAAACAGAAAAGGAUAAGGUGACUGAAGAACUGAUUACUAAUACUGAGAUAGAAGGUAUGGUAUGUUUGAGUACAAUCUUUCAUCUUUUCUGAGUACCUCAAAUUAUGAAAAAUUAGUGCUAUAGUAAAGUCUCUUUCUUUCUCUGCUUCAUACAUCAAUGUCUGUUUUCUGCCCGUCAAAUUAAAAGAAAGAGAAGCUUCCUUUUCCUCAGUUGUAUGAAUAAAUAGAUCCUAAUAUGCUUACUGUGUACUGAAUCCGUUGCUUGAACUCCUCAACUUGAUUUAUAUUUGCCAAAGUGUCAGUUUCUCUGCAUAAAAGAACUACUUCCGCGCCUAUUCAUGUUUUAUAAUAUCUUUGUAUCCUGAGAUGUUAUUGAGGUGUUUUUAAGGAAGUGCGGGGUAUUCCUCCCAGCUUUGCCCAAAAAGGAGAUUUAAAAAGAGCUUUGGAAGAAAAAAAUAGUUCAAGACAACAAGAAAAUGAAGUUGCUCCUCCAGUGAAUUUGACAUCUGCCUCAAAAGUUGUAACUUUGCUAAAGGUUGAUGGAUCACAGAUGAUAGUAGGCCUUUAUAUUCUGGAUUUGGCUGCAAGCAAUGAUUGUCAUCCAUGUGGGCUUGCAGCUUAACACAACGUAUGGAUUUUGAAUACGAGAAACUACAUUGGAGACCAAGAGAUUAAGAGAUGGAAGAGUUUGCAGGUGUUAACUUCCUGAAAAGGGUCUAAAUUUUGUUGUUACAUAGAAUAUGGCGCUGCUCUCUCCCUUCUUCAAUUCUUCAGGUGAUAUUUAAUUGGCUUUACAUACAAGGAAUUUACUGAAUUUGGUUGUGCGGCCAGGAUGGAAAACGAAACUCUGGCUUUUAUUGGGGAUUACCUCGGUAGACAACAAUUUCAGCCACUUAUGUGUAUGAUUACUGGUGGUGAAGACAGACCUGAUGUUCUCGAUGUGGGAAGUGAAUAUGGUCUUGUAAAGGCUCGUGGUGCUAAACAACCUGAUGGAUGGGUUUAUCGAUUUCCGAGUACCCAAACAACUAACUUUACUUAUGAGGACAUACUUUUGAGGGUUUUAGUAUAAUUUUAUCUUCCUUGCCAUUUGAUUGGUGCACAGGAUAUAAGCUAUGUCAGUUGGUUCUCAGUAACCCCGAUAUACGCACCCUCCAUUACUGUUAAAUGGCCUAUGUUAUGAAUUAUCAGAUUGAGAGGUGAAAUGAUAAAGAGGUUCCUCUCACAGUGUAGCAUAUAUUGAUGUAGGCAAAGAACUGGAAGGUAGAAAAGAUGAGGGUUUAGUAUUCUGCAUUGGUGAAAGCAGGUAGAUAAUCUUCAUCAGUUGCUUAUCUUAAUUUUCAGCAGAACAGUGAAAGAAUGAAUCACAUCGGAUCAUGGUCAAUCUAGAAUAUCCAUUCCUCAAAUUGCUUCAAGGCAACUAGAUUACAAGAAGAAACAUUAAGUGGCUAUUUGUUAGAGUUAUAUGGUAUUCAAUUCUCUCAAUGAAGAAAGUAUCUGCGAAUUAUUUCAGUAGGUUAUUUUAUUCUUCAAGAGUGCCAAUUAUCAUGGAACUGAUUCUUUCUUCUAUUCUUAACUCUUGUUUUGAAAGUUAAAGCUCUCAGCUUUUCUUCUACUGGUGAAUGUUCCUUUGUGGGAUUUUGCACCUGUGUUAUAUGAAUAAAAUUAAAAUGUUUCCAUGAGUUGAAAUAUCUCAGAGCUGAAUCUUCUUAUAUUAGCUUCUUCUUUUUGAAUGUUCUAUGUUGGACAGUUGGAGAUGAGAAAGAAAUACACCUUGAAGGGCAAUAGAUGUGCAUGCUAUUGUAUAUUUGUCAAAACAAUACUAAGGUUGUCUUCUGAAGAAGAAAAAAGGGGGAAAUGCUAGAAAAACAAUGGAGAAAUAUACUAGGAAAAUAAUCUGCAAAAUCAAUUGACGCAUCCUAUUUGUUGGUAACCUGGAUUCUAAAGAUUCGAUUUAGGUGUUUUUCAUCCUUACAUUGAAUUGGCUAUCGUUUGGUUAUAGUAUUAGUUAUGUUUCCUUAUGCUUCGUGUUUGUUGCUAUCCAUUUUUCAAUGACCAUAAGUUUGACGUUAUUGUAAAAAAGCUAUUUGAUUCUUGUCAUUUUCUCUCAAAAUUGCCGGAGAUUUAGAUUUGAUUUAGUUCACAUAAACAGAGACAUUUAAGUUACAGCGUUGGGCCCGUGCUCAGCACGGGUAUAACCUCAUCUAGUAGUAGUAGAAGAGAAGUGUGGUCGACCAAGGUAAAAUUGUCUUUAUACUCUCCAUCUAGAAUUGCCUUUUCGAUUUUCUCAUCUUUUCAAUCUCUGUCAUAGUCCUUUUAGCUUCAUCUGCCAUAAAACACGUAUUCCUACUCGCCGGCGACAGCAACCAAGCUCAAAAGUAAAUAUGACUGAGAUUUUUCGUGUAUGUUUCUCUUAGCUCUUUCCUUCUGUUUUUCGAUCUCUUCUUACCUAAGUUUCAAGACCAUACUGAUGGAAUUUGGGUCUACUUCUGAAUUUUGUCCUAAUUAGUUAGUUGCCUUUCGAAUAUAUGUGCAUUCCACUUUCACAUCCCAGAUUUGCAUUCCGUAUACUCUGUUUCUUUUGUUACACCUUCUAGCCUUAUUUUUUGAGUUUCCUUUCAAAUUUCUCUAAUUUCCUUCUGUGUGUGCUAUAAUUCGUUCGGAGUUUUGCAGAAUUUUUCUUCAGUCUUUCUUUGUUUAUUGCAACCAUGUAUUGGUAAUGGGUAUUUGGUGGGUAUCUCUUAUUCACUACUCUCUACGAUAAUUUCUUCCAUUUUGUACGUCUGAAUUGCACAUGUUUGUUGGAAAAUUUUCCGCAUAGGUUUAAAUACGAGUUGGGCAUAAUUAAUUUCCAUCUAGGACAAAAAUAUUGAAGAAACAAACAAGAUCUCUCAUGCAACCAAGGUGUUUGAUAAUAUGUCUUAAAUACAAGAACUGUGUUGUUUACUUGAGAGCUGAAUUUGGCAUUUUAGGUAUGUAUUUGUAUUGGGUGCUCCUUUUUUGGUUUUCGUUUAAAAGACUAUAUUUGACUUUUGUAUAGGUUAUGGGUAUAUGUUUCCUUUAAUCACGUAUUAACAAGAUUGUCUACUCUUUCUUGACAUACAAUGAGUUACGUAUAUUAUUAACUUGGGAAACUGCACUUGAAAAAUCUACAAGAAAAAAUCUCAGUAAGAAACUUUACCAUAAGGUGUUAAAUUUGAAAUUUUCAUAUGCAACAUGGCAUUAAAUCUAAAGGUUUGAAAUGGAGGUUUCAAUAGAUUUUGCUAAUUAAUGGUUCUAAUGCUAAUUGGCGCUUUCCUUGAUGUUUUUACGGCCAAUUAGUAUCCCUCAAAUUAUGAUUUGUUUUCUUUAGACUAUGUAGCUUUCGAUGCAUGACCCCGAACUAAUAACUGCAUCAGUACAUAGCAAGAAAAGGGAAGCCCUCAUGUAGCUUUCCUUCUGGAAGAUGAACAAGGCUGAUACAAAUAGAUAGCUUUUUAUGUAUGACUAACCUGGAUGAAAAUAAUUUUUAUCCUGACAUUAGUUAUCGGGUCUUGGCUUCUUUUUAAGGCAAUGUUAAUUAGGCUUCAACAAUGAAGUAUCUUUUGAAAUUUGUCCUUAAUAUGAGUUGGAACUGGUACUUGGCAGGCAUUGCCUGAUUAUCUGUUAUAAAUUCUUUCUUAUUUUUGCAAUACUUUAAUUCUAUUUGUUGUUAUUUAGUGCAAGAUAAACAACUUACCCACAAAAAAAUAUAGAAAUUAAAAAAAAUAAAGUCUCUACCAGUGAUGCCAGAUUGAUGUUGCAAUUAUUUUGUUUCUUUUCUUGAAAGCUUGUAAAGUUAAGUGCCAGAAAAAUGAAUUUUGAAUUUGUGUAUUUAUACAUAAUGAAAAACUUUGGUUCUAAUACUGAAGCAUGUCAUUUAUAAAUCUUAAUAUGUUCUCUUUAUGUUUUUCUCCAUGGAUAAAUAUUUUUUCUAUAUAUAGUUAGUCACAUUGGAGGAUCUAGAAUUACAGAACAGACUUUGGUUAGCUUUUCAAUAGUGCUGACUAUUUUAUUCUGCUAUUAUUAUUCAUAUGUAUUGUAUUGUGUUAAAUGAUAUAUAUUGCUAGCAUAUUGUAGUUGAAAGGAAAACUAAAAUGCUUGGUCGAAUGAAGGAAAAAGCUGUUAUUGCCAAGCAUCAAUAACAAAUGUUAGCAGACACUGAUGAAUUAUGGGUUUAGCUGCAUGUCACAUCAUUAGUUUGUCAAGACUUCAUCAAUGACAACGUUGCCGCAUACAAUACCUUUGUUUUUUUUUCUCUUUUCCUAAUUCUAGACCCAUUACAUUGGUCGAUAUUCUCUGUUGAUUAUAAGAUAAAUUAUUUGUAAUACAAAGAUUUUGUGUCU